rnacentral:rRNA from 1 species
GUCCCAGACUCCUACGGGAGGCAGCAGUGGGGGAUAUUGCACAAUGGGGGAAACCCUGAUGCAGCGACGCCGCGUGGGUGAAGAAGCGCCUCGGCGCGUAAAGCCCUGUCAGCAGGGAAGAAAAUGACGGUACCUGAAGAAGAAGCCCCGGCUAACUACGUGCCAGCAGCCGCGGUAAUACGUAGGGGGCAAGCGUUAUCCGGAUUUACUGGGUGUAAAGGGUGCGUAGACGGGAAUGCAAGUUAGUUGUGAAAUCCCUCGGCUUAACUGAGGAACUGCAACUAAAACUACAUUUCUUGAGUGCUGGAGAGGAAAGUGGAAUUCCUAGUGUAGCGGUGAAAUGCGUAGAUAUUAGGAGGAACACCAGUGGCGAAGGCGACUUUCUGGACAGUAACUGACGUUGAGGCACGAAAGUGUGGGGAGCAAACAGGAUUAGAUACCCGCGUACU